CCUACGGGUGGCAGCAGUCGAGAAUCAUUCACAAUGGGGGAAACCCUGAUGGUGCGACGCCGCGUGGGGGAAUGAAGGUCUUCGGAUUGUAAACCCCUGUCAUGUGGGAGCAAAUUAAAAAGAUAGUACCACAAGAGGAAGAGACGGCUAACUCUGUGCCAGCAGCCGCGGUAAUACAGAGGUCUCAAGCGUUGUUCGGAAUCACUGGGCGUAAAGGGUGCGUAGGCGGUUUCGUAAGUCGUGUGUGAAAGGCGCGGGCUCAACCAGCGGACGGCACAUGAUACUGCGAGACUAGAGUAAUGGAGGGGGAACCGGAAUUCUCGGUGUAGCAGUGAAAUGCGUAGAUAUCGAGAGGAACACUCGUGGCGAAGGCGGGUUCCUGGACAUUAACUGACGCUGAGGCACGAAGGCCAGGGGAGCGAAAGGGAUUAGAUACCCUUGUAGUC
rnacentral:rRNA from 1 species